AGACAACAAUUCAAGCCAUUCAAGUCCACAUUCAUGUUAUCAAGCAUUUCAUCAAUCAAUCAUUAAGAGUCACAACAAGAAAGUUCACAAACAUUAUGAUCAUCACAUAGCCAUUUCAUUUCAACUCUUUUUUAUUCAUUAAGAUUUAUCAAGUGGACAAUUAACCCUUCAUCUCAUUCUCAUUACUCCCAACACACAC
rnacentral:lncRNA from 1 species